rnacentral:rRNA from 1 species
CCGCACGGGUGAGUAACACGUAUGCAAUCCACCUGUAACAGGGGGAUAACCCGGAGAAAUCCGGACUAAUACCCCAUAAUAUGGGCGCUCCGCAUGGAGAGCCCAUUAAAGAGAGCAAUUUUGGUUACAGACGAGCAUGCGCUCCAUUAGCCAGUUGGCGGGGUAACGGCCCACCAAGCCUUCGAUGGAUAGGGGUUCUGAGAGGAAGGUCCCCCACAUUGGAACUGAGACACGGUCCAA